rnacentral:rRNA from 1 species
AUUGAACGCUGGCGGCAUGCCUUACACAUGCAAGUCGAACGGCAGCACGGGGGCAAUCCUGGUGGCGAGUGGCGAACGGGUGAGUAAUACAUCGGAACGUGUCCUGUAGUGGGGGAUAGCCCGGCGAAAGCCGGAUUAAUACCGCAUACGCUCUACGGAGGAAAGGGGGGGAUCUUAGGACCUCCCGCUACAGGGGCGGCCGAUGGCAGAUUAGCUAGUUGGUGGGGUAAAGGCCUACCAAGGCGACGAUCUGUAGCUGGUCUGAGAGGACGACCAGCCACACUGGGACUGAGACACGGCCCAGACUCCUACGGGAGGCAGCAGUGGGGAAUUUUGGACAAUGGGCGAAAGCCUGAUCCAGCAAUGCCGCGUGUGUGAAGAAGGCCUUCGGGUUGUAAAGCACUUUUGUCCGGAAAGAAAAACGCCGUGGUU